GACGAACGCUGGCGGCGUGCCUAAUACAUGCAAGUAGGACGCAGUUGCGAACGGGUGCGUAACGCGUAGGUAACUGCCUAUUAGAGGGGGAUAACUAUUGGAAACGAUAGCUAAUACCGCAUACUAGUAGAUGGACCUUCUUUGUAUUAGCUAGUAGGUAGGGUACUGGCCUACCUAGGCGACGAUACAUAGCCGACCUGAGAGGGUGAUCGGCCAAGCUGGGACUUAGACACGGCCCAGACUCCGACGGGAGGCAGCAGUAGGGAAGCUUCGGCAAUGGGGGGAACCCUGACCGAGCAACGCCGCGGGAGUGAAGAAGGUUUUCGGAUCGUAAAGCUCUGUUGUUAAGGAAGCGGUACUUAACCAGAAAGGGACGGCUAACUACGUGCCAGCAGCCGCGGUAAUUC
rnacentral:rRNA from 1 species